rnacentral:rRNA from 1 species
GGAUUAGAUACCCUGGUAGUCCACACCGUAAACGAUGAAUGCUAGUUGUUGGCAGGCAUGCCUGUCGGUGACGCAGCUAACGCAGUAAGCAUUCCGCCUGGGGAGUACGGCCGCAAGGUUAAAACUCAAAGAAAUUGACGGGGGCCCGCACAAGCGGUGGAGCAUGUGGUUUAAUUCGAAGCAACGCGCAGAACCUUACCUACCCUUGACAUGCCCGGUGUGGAUUUCAGAGAUGAUAUCCUUUCUUCGGAGCCGGUGCACAGGUGCUGCAUGGCUGUCGUCAGCUCGUGCCG